CCAUCAUCACCAUCACCCAAGGUAAUCUUUCGGGAGAUGUUCGCAUACCCGGGAGAUACACUCCCGGAGGACGAUUUUGAUCAACAGAUUCAAACCCUCGGGAGACCAUUCUUCCGAGGGUUUUUUAAU
rfam:Vibrio sp. qd031 contig_76, whole genome shotgun sequence.